GCCCCUGUGGGUUAGUCAGGACAUGCUUGCGAACUGCGGAUUCGCCGACCCGGGUUCAAAUCCCGGCAGGGGCG
rnacentral:tRNA from 1 species